GACGGAGGAUGCAAGCGUUAUCCGGAAUGAUUGGGCGUAAAGCGUCCGCAGGUGGCAGUUCAAGUCUGCUGUCAAAGACCGGGGCUUAACUUCGGAAAGGCAGUGGAAACUGAACAGCUAGAGUAUGGUAGGGGCAGAGGGAAUUCCUGGUGUAGCGGUGAAAUGCGCAGAGAUCGGGAGGAACACCCGUAGCGAAGGCGGCACUCUGGGCCGGUACUGACGCUGAGGAGCGAAAGCGUGGGGAGCAAACAGG
rnacentral:rRNA from 1 species